AGGAGCAAUAUAUUGGAAGGGGAGGAGAGUCCCUAGGUGGCUGCAGACAGCAAGCCCAUGUUGAAACCAUUCCGCCCUCCUAGAUCUCCAGGAGGGGAGGCCUCCAAGAUACAUACUCUGCUAUUUUGUUCCAUGGCCUCAAUGAGAUAAUGAUAAUUUGCUUGCAUAUUCCUCCUGCAUUUCAUUGUUCUCACCAUUCAGUUCUAAGCUGAGAUUGCCCAAUUUCUAUUUGUAGACAUGAACAUUCCUUUAAGAUGCACAUUCCUGGAGGGAUCCCAAGAUGGCCGAAUAAGAGGCUCUUCCAGAAAGCAGCUCGCAUUGAGAGAGACACAGAAACCGAGUGGUCCCCAGAAUUUCAAAUGAGGUGGCGACACAAGAUGGUGGAUCCCCCUGCUGUUACCCUGCAGACCCAGGGCUUAUAUGCCAUAGAGAAAGCAUAUGUGUGCUUCAGAAGGGAUGUGUAGGACAGUUCCUUAAGGGCAGGAUUUGUGGGGACCCCAGAGAAACCUUGAAAACUGAGUUCCUGGCCGCAAUGGGGUGUGAGGUCAGACAUGCCUCAUUAUACCUGCUCCCUCCCUAACAGCCAUUAGGCUUUCUUCCCUAAGCACUAACAGAAACCAGCCUUUUCAAAAGAAUCCACCAUUUUGAUAUCAACCAACUGCCUGAAGCUGCCCCUCCACUUUUUGCCUGAUAAGAGACCACUGCCCACAGAGUGGUUCUGGCUAGUCUAUGGAGAAUGCUCAGUGAGGGUUUGUGUGUCCUCUGCCUCACUAUUUGAUGUCAUAGAACUGGAAACUCCAUCCUCAAAUCAUGCUAACACCACUGUUUUUGAACAUGGGGCCCAUGGAGAGGGAGGAAGCUCUAUUGUGUUUGUGCACAUUUCUCCUUUCAUAAAUGUUUAUCCCUCCUCCUAUAGCUUAUUGAGUAUAUAUACUAGGCCACCCCAUUCAGAAUAAAUUCCUGUCUUAUUCUUCAUAUCCCCCAAGUGUCUAUUUAUGGCUUUUGGCCAGAGGCUAGACUUCCCAGCCUGUCAGAAUGGCCACCCUGCAGGCUGCAAUGCUUAUGAGAAAUAAAGGUCUCCUUUUCAAAAUCACAAA
rnacentral:lncRNA from 1 species